UGAGGAGCGCCUCUUCCCGGCCGCCAUCCCAUCUAGGAAGUGAGGAGCGUCUCUGCCCGGCCGCCCAACGUCUGAGAUGUGGGGAGCGCCUCCGCCCCGCCGCCCCGUCUGGGAGGCCCGCAUGGAGUGGCACAAAGUUCCCAGGCAGAACCAGGCUCAGGAACAGCUGAAGUCCUGGUCUGGCCUUCCUGUGGUUUUCCUAACUCACCAAGUUACAGGUCAGUUAGAGCAGCAGCGCUUCUGACCUCGGUGAGGAGUUGGAAGGAUCUGGACGGGAAGUCAGAGCCUGGGUAACAGUCCUGGCUCUGCCACCCACUAGAUGUGUAACCCCAAGUCAGCUGAUUCCUCUCCAGGUGCCUCGGCUUCCGCAUCUGUCGUAUGACCCGUGAUCUCUGGGAAGCCACACAGCUCAAGGUCUUGGGGAGAUGGGGUCUCACCGUGUUGCCCAAGCUGGUCUGGAACUCCUGGGCUCUAGCGAUCUGCCCGUCUUUGCCACCCAAAGUGCUGGGAUUACAGGCGUGAGCCACCACACCCGGCUCAUCUUCUGUUCUGCUGUGAUGUGAAGUGCUGAGAAGUUCAGCACGUCAUGGAGGCUCCGGAAGCGUCACUUACCCUGUCCCUGUCGGCAUCAUCAUCGUCAGCAUCGUUUAAGAAUCAAGCCCUGUUUUCUUCUUCUGACCACUGGGUGGCUCCGCAGAAUUGGUUCUGUGAUUAUCGCGCUCUCAAAGGCGGCCUUGGGGUUUGGGUGAACAGUAUGAUAAUGCUGGUUUGUCGUAGGUCAAAAACAGCAAAUUAUCUGCAAUGUCAUGUGGUUCUACCUAAUGCUUGCGGUGUCCCUGCCCUGGGCUGUUUCCCUUCGGCUUCAUCUCAGCGAAUCACGAACACAUUCCACGGACUCACCUCCUUGGAAGCCUUUUGGAUUCUCUGCGCAGCCCAAGCUGCCCGGGAUCUGGGAGGCCAGGCUGAGUCUAUGGCCCCGGAGCCCGCCCGGACUUGCCACUGGAGACCUGGGGCCAAGGGCCCAUCCGAGCUGGGAAGAGAG
ensembl:lncRNA novel transcript